GGAGUCUGGGCCGUAUCUCAGUCCCAAUGUGGCCGUUCAACCUCUCAGUCCGGCUACUGAUCGUCGCCUUGGUAUGCCGUUACCACACCAACUAGCUAAUCAGACGCAAGCCCAUCUAUCAGCGGAUUACUCCUUUCCCGUUUGUUACAUGCGUAACUCACGGCAUAUGCGGUAUUAGCAGUCAUUUCUAACUGUUGUUCCCCUCUGAUAGGCAGGUUGUUUACGUGUUACUCACCCUUUCGCCGGUCGCCGGCAUGUAUUGCUACACCCGCUGCCCCUCGACUUGCAUGUGUUAAGCCUGCCGCUAGCGUUCAUC
rnacentral:rRNA from 1 species